AUAUAUGACCAUAUCACGUUGAAUGUACGGUAUCUUGUCUGAUAUGCCAAGUCAAGCACCGUUGGGUUUGGUUAGUACCUAGAUCGGCUUUGGAAUCUCCAGUGUUUCAGGUA
rnacentral:rRNA from 1 species